rfam:Stegodyphus mimosarum contig65587, whole genome shotgun sequence.
ACCGUUCUUGUCUUGGGCAGUUGCUGCUCUGUGAACGCAAUGUGAGAGCAGUGUGCUGACAACCAUGUGACACAUAGUCUACCGCACCGCGCACCUGCUGCAGGUGCGUAUGGGUGCAAUUUUUGGAACC